CCUACGGGAGGCAGCAGUAGGGAAUAUUGCUCAAUGGGGGAAACCCUGAAGCAGCAACGCCGCGUGAAGGAUGAAGGUUUUCGGAUUGUAAACUCCUUUUGUUAGAGAAGAUAAUGACGGUAUCUGACGAAUACGCCCCGGCUAACUCCGUGCCAGCAGCCGCGGUACUACGGAGGGUGCAAGCGUUACUCGGAAUCACUGGGCGUAAAGAGCGCGUAGGCGGGAUAGCAAGUCAGAUGUGAAAGCCUAUGGCUUAACCCUAGAACUGCAUUUGAAACUGUUAUUCUAGAGUAUGGGAGAGGCAGGUGGAAUUCUUGGUGUAGGGGUAAAAUCCGUAGAGAUCAAGAGGAAUACUCAUUGCGAAGGCGACCUGCUAGAACAUAACUGACGCUGAUGCGCGAAAGCGUGGGGAGCAAACAGGAUUAGAUACCCGGGUAGUC
rnacentral:rRNA from 1 species